rnacentral:rRNA from 1 species
UUCGGGACGCCGGCGAGUGGCGAACGGGUGAGUAACACGUGGAGACCUGCCCUGGGGUGGGGGAUAACAGCUAGAAAUGGCUGCUAAUACCGCAUACGCCUUACGAGGGAAAGAUUUAUUGCCCCAGGAGGGUUCCGCGUCGGAUUAGCUUGUUGGUGGGGUAACGGCCUACCAAGGCGACGAUCCGUAGCUGGUCUUAGAGGAUGAUCAGCCACACUGGGACUGAGACACGGCCCAGACUCCUACGGGAGGCAGCAGUGGGGAAUAUUGCGCAAUGGGGGAAACCCUGACGCAGCGAUGCCGCGUGGGUGAAUAAGGCCUUAGGGUUGUAAAGCCCUUUCAGUGGGAACGAUGAUGACGGUACCCACAGAAGAAGCCCCGGCUAACUCCGUGCCAGCAGCCGCGGUAAUACGGAGGGGACGAGCGUUGU